CAGUAGCCGCGGGAAUACGAAGGGGGCUAGCGUUGUUCGGGAUCACUGGGCGUAAAGCGUACGUAGGCGGACUUUUAAGUCAGGGGUGAAAUCCCGAGGCUCAACCUUGGAACUGCCUUUGAUACUGGAAGUCUUGAGUUCGGGAGAGGUGAGUGGAACUGCGAGUGUAGAGGUGAAAUUCGUAGAUAUUCGCAAGAACACCAGUGGCGAAGGCGGCUCACUGGCCCGAUACUGACGCUGAGGUGCGAAAGCGUGGGGAGCAAACAGGAUUAGAUACCCGUGUAGUCCCUGUCCCUUAUAC
rnacentral:rRNA from 1 species